rnacentral:rRNA from 1 species
AACGUAGGUGGCAAGCGUUAUCCGGAAUUACUGGGCGUAAAGGGUGUGCAGGCGGGGGUGCAAGUGGGGGAUGAAAUAUCCCAGCUUAACUGGGAGGGGUUAUGCCAGACUGCAACUCUAGAGGACGAGAGAGGGGGGUGGAAUUCCGGGUGUAGUGGUGAAAUGCGUAGAGAUCGGGAGGAACACCUGUGGCGAAGGCGGCCCCCUGGGCCGGCCCUGACACUGAGACGCGAAGGCGUGGGGAGCGAACGGG